UUGAAAAGCCAGGGGAUGACUUGUGGAUAGGGGUGAAAGGCUAAUCAAGCCUGGUGAUAGCUGGUUCUCCCCGAAAGCUAUUUAGGUAGCGCCUCGGACGAAUACCAUAGGGGGUAGAGCACUGUUUCGGCUAGGGGGUCAUCCCGACUUACCAAACCGAUGCAAACUCCGAAUACCUAUGAGUACUAUCCGGGAGACAGACUGCGGGUGCUAACGUCCGUAGUCAAGAGGAAAACAAUCCAGACCGCCAGCUAAGGCCCCAAAAUCAUAGUUAAGUGGGAAACGAUGUGGGAAGGCAUAGACAGCUAGGAGGUUGGCUUAGAAGCAGCCACCCUUUAAAGAAAGCGUAAUAGCUCACUAGUCGAGUCGGCCUGCGCGGAAGAUGUAACGGGGCUAAAACUAUGUGCCGAAGCUGCGGAUUUGACAUUAGUCAAGUGGUAGGGGAGCGUUCUGUAAGCCGAUGAAGGUGUAUUGAGAAGUAUGCUGGAGGUAUCAGAAGUGCGAAUGCUGACGUGAGUAACGACAAAACGGGUGAAAAACCCGUUCGCCGAAAGACCAAGGGUUCCAGUCCAACGUUAAUCGGGGCUGGGUGAGUCGACCCCUAAGGCGAGGCCGAAAGGCGUAGUCGAUGGGAAAAUGGUUAAUAUUCCAUUACUUCUGUGUAAUGCGAUGAGAGGACGGAGAAGGCUAAAUCAGCCUGGCGUUGGUUGUCCAGGUGAAAGGAUGUAGGCAUGUAUCUUAGGCAAAUCCGGGGUACUCUAUGCUGAGAUCUGAUAGCAAGCUGUACUUGUACAGCGAAGUGGUUGAUGCCAUGCUUCCAGGAAAAGUCUCUAAGCUUCAGUUACACAGGAAUCGUACCCGAAACCGACACAGGUGGUCAGGUCGAGUAGACCAAGGCGCUUGAGAGAACUCUGCUGAAGGAACUAGGCAAAAUGGUACCGUAACUUCGGGAGAAGGUACGCUGUUGUUGGUGAUGGAACUCGCUUCCUGAGCUGACGACAGCCGCAGAAACCAGGCCGCUGCAACUGUUUAUUAAAAACAUAGCACUCUGCAAACACGAAAGUGGACGUAUAGGGUGUGAUGCCUGCCCGGUGCUGGAAGGUUAAUUGAUGGGGUUAGCGUAAGCGAAGCUCUUGAUCGAAGCCCCAGUAAACGGCGGCCGUAACUAUAACGGUCCUAAGGUAGCGAAAUUCCUUGUCGGGUAAGUUCCGACCUGCACGAAUGGCAUAAUGAUGGCGGCGCUGUCUCCAGCAGAGGCUCAGUGAAAUCGAAAUCGCUGUGAAGAUGCAGUGUACCCGCGGCUAGACGGAAAGACCCCGUGAACCUUUACUGCAGCUUGACACUGAACUUUGACCUUACUUGUGUAGGAUAGGUGGGAGGCUUUGAAGCUGGAACGCUAGUUCCAGUGGAGCCGUCCUUGAAAUACCACCCUGGUAAUGUUGAGGUUCUAACUCUGUCCCGUGAUCCGGGACGAGGACCGUGUCUGGUGGGUAGUUUGACUGGGGCGGUCUCCUCCUAAAGAGUAACGGAGGAGUACGAAGGUGCGCUCAGCGUGGUCGGAAAUCACGCGUAGAGUAUAAAGGCAAAAGCGCGCUUAACUGCGAGACCCACAAGUCGAGCAGGUACGAAAGUAGGUCUUAGUGAUCCGGUGGUUCUGUAUGGAAGGGCCAUCGCUCAACGGAUAAAAGGUACUCUGGGGAUAACAGGCUGAUACCGCCCAAGAGUUCAUAUCGACGGCGGUGUUUGGCACCUCGAUGUCGGCUCAUCUCAUCCUGGGGCUGAAGCAGGUCCCAAGGGUAUGGCUGUUCGCCAUUUAAAGAGGUACGCGAGCUGGGUUUAGAACGUCGUGAGACAGUUCGGUCCCUAUCUACCGUGGGCGCUGGAAAUUUGAGAGGAUCUGCUCCUAGUACGAGAGGACCAGAGUGGACGAACCUCUGGUGUACCGGUUGUGACGCCAGUCGCAUCGCCGGGUAGCUAUGUUCGGAAGGGAUAACCGCUGAAAGCAUCUAAGCGGGAAGCCUACCUCAAGAUAAGAUUUCCCUAGGACUUUAUGUCCUCUAAAGAGCCGUUCGAGACUAGGACGUUGAUAGGUUGGAUGUGGAAGCAUAGUGAUAUGUGAAGCUGACCAAUACUAAUUGCUCGUGAGGCUUGACUAUACAACACCCAAGCAGUUG
rnacentral:rRNA from 1 species